rnacentral:lncRNA from 7 species
ACACCUGGAGCAGCUGACAGAAGGCACACCUGUGAAGAUCUCGGUUUCCUCUCCCUGGGAAGUGUUCCCUGAGCUGGUCUUCUAAGAGAAGGUUUGGGUUGGAGGCUAGGAUCGAUUUUGGCACAGAAAAACGGCACGUUCUAGAUCUCCUUUGACCUGGACAGUUUGGCUUCAUCUUGGAUACCUUUUGACUUCAAAGAUUUAAUCGUGAUCACCAGUCAGGAUUUUAAGGAGGAUGGAAAUGAAAGGACAAAAAUGUCUGCAGAACUAUCCAAAAGGUGCAUUAGUACUCCAGUUCGGAAUUUCAAGCCCAUGUUUAGGCAUUUAUUUCUGCAAAGCUUUGUGCAGUGAAGGAGUAUUUUUACCCACAUCCAGGAAGUUACAGAGUAGAUGAGAGGCCAGAUUUUCUGAGCACCUCAAUAGAUGAAGAUCCAGGGCAGUUAUGCUGUAUUUCACAAAGAUUUAAAGCUUGACACAUUUUGCGCUGGUGAGGAGGAGCGGCCUGUGGUGCAAAGAAAAUGAUUACUGUCAGCACCUCAAGCAAGGCAAGAUGAAAUAUGUGCUGCUAGUACUUUUCCAGUUUACAUCAGCCCGUACUGAGUUUAACUCAUUGUUAGAGAAGAUAAACCCAGAGAGAGAAAGCAAGACAAGCAGCACUGAUAAGCCUGUGUAUGUGCACAGAUGUGUGCUUCUAAGAAGGUGAUCCUGGGGCACUGACAGGUUCUUGUUCCUCUGUGGACCUUGCAGAAUGUGUGUCCUGUGUCCCCAGUGCUAAAGGAAUCUAAAUCAAUAUGGAGAACAGCAGCGGGAAUGGGAGGCUGGGGUAUGCAGAAGCAUUUCUGAGGUGAGGAGAAGGCCAUUCCCUUGUAGUACUUCUUUCUACAUCCCCUGUCUCCAGUCUUUGUUUAGAAAUAAACCUUUAAUUGCAGUGGGAUUUAAUGAAAACUCUUUGAGGAAGAAAAGAGUAUAGUUAUCACUUGACUGUGAAUUCUCUUGAGGGAUUUCUUGUAUGCAUAUCUUGGGACUGGGGCCUUCUCCAAAUCUUUCACAGAAAGGAACAUUGAGAAAUGAUUUCUGCUUCAUUAUGCUCCUUGCACACCCGAGACAAAACUGUACAUGCUGUCUCCACCCUCUGAAUAAAAUAUAAAAAGAAAGAAGAGAGGAGGCAGCAAUGAUGAGCUUCUCUGGGAAAUAUGCAUCUGUCUUUGCCCAUUUAGAGGUUUAAUAUUACUUUAAAAUAUGUUUCUGCAUGGAGGACUGAGGAGAUAGAGAGGUUCUGCUCUGCUGAACUUGGUUUUCUAGACACAGGGGACAGAUGGGAAGAGUAGCAGUGUGUCAUGCCUGCUUACAUAGCAAACUGGAGCACAGCAAAUGUGUCCUGCUGGCUUCUUUUCACACCAAAUCAUGGUAUUCUGGGAAUGCCGAGGACACCCCAGGCUUUGUCAUGGGCUGAGUCAUUUGAGGAUUUUUCUGCUGUAACUAGAGAAGAUUCAUAUAGAAUCUCGUUAGUGUUUACCAUGAACAAACAAGCCAGAGGAAUAUGUGGUCAGAGUGAUUAUGAGGAGUUGAAAUAAAGAGAAAAG